rnacentral:rRNA from 1 species
ACGCUCGACACCUACGGGAGGCCGCAGUGGGGAAUAUUGGGCAAUGGGCGCAAGCCUGACCCAGCAACGCCGCGUGAAGGAAGAAGGCCCUCGGGUUGUAAACUUCUUUUGUCAGGGACGAAGCAAGUGACGGUACCUGACGAAUAAGCCACGGCUAACUACGUGCCAGCAGCCGCGGUAAUCUGAGCGGGCUGGCAAGGC